CUGCUGCUGCUGCUGCUGCUGCUGCUGCUGCUGCUGCUGCUGCUGCUGCUGCUGCUGCUGCUGCUGCUGCUGCUGCUGCUGCUGCUGCUGCUGCUACUACUACUACUACUACUACUACUACUACUACUACUACCACUACCACUACCACUACUACU